rnacentral:rRNA from 1 species
UGAGGAAUAUUGGUCAAUGGGCGCGAGCCUGAACCAGCCAAGUAGCGUGCAGGAUGACGGCCCUAUGGGUUGUAAACUGCUUUUAUGCGGGGAUAAAGUGAGGGACGCGUCCCUUUUUGCAGGUACCGCAUGAAUAAGGACCGGCUAAUUCCGUGCCAGCAGCCGCGGUAAUACGGAAGGUCCGGGCGUUAUCCGGAUUUAUUGGGUUUAAAGGGAGCGUAGGCCGCUGUUUAAGCGUGUUGUGAAAACCGGGGCUCAACUCCGGUCGUGCAGCGCGAACUGGACGGCUUGAGUGCGCGGUAAGUGGGCGGAAUUUGUGGUGUAGCGGUGAAAUGCUUAGAUAUCACGAAGAACUCCGAUUGCGAAGGCAGCUCACUGUAGCGCA